AGCGAACGCUAGCGGCAGGCUUAACACAUGCAAGUCGAACGGUGAACGAGGGAGCUUGCUCCCUCCGGAUCAGUGGCGAACGGGUGAGUGACACGUGAGCAAUCUGCCCUGGACUCUGGGAUAAGCGUUGGAAACGACGUCUAAUACCGGAUACGAGGCGUGGGGGCAUCCCCAACGCUUGGAAAGAACUUCGGUCCAGGAUGAGCUCGCGGCCUAUCAGCUAGUUGGUGAGGUAACGGCUCACCAAGGCGACGACGGGUAGCCGGCCUGAGAGGGUGACCGGCCACACUGGGACUGAGACACGGCCCAGACUCCUACGGGAGGCAGCAGUGGGGAAUAUUGCACAAUGGGCGCAAGCCUGAUGCAGCAACGCCGCGUGAGGGACGACGGCCUUCGGGUUGUAAACCUCUUUUAGCAGGGAAGAAGCGAAAGUGACGGUACCUGCAGAAAAAGCACCGGCUAACUACGUGCCAGCAGCCGCCCGUAAAAC
rnacentral:rRNA from 1 species